CCUGUUGAACUUACUUUAAAUAAAGCUAAUACUAACAAUGACCACUGCCUUUUCCUUGAUCUUGAUAUCUAUAUCAUUAACGGGAAGCUUAAUACAAAAACUUAUGAUAAAAGAGAUGAUUUUUCAUUUCCUAUCGUUAAUUAUCCAUUUUUAGAUGGUGACGUUCCCUUGUCACCAUCGUAUGGUGUUUAUAUAUCUCAACGUGUACGAUUCGCUCGUGAAUGUAAUAGCGUAUUAUAUUUUAGCGAGAGAAAUUUAUGUAUUACUGAAAAAAUAUUACACCAGGGUUUUCGAUAUCACAAACU
rnacentral:lncRNA from 1 species